UCAAAUCACAAACUCAUAAAUCAUUCUCCAAACUCAAAAUCUCUCAAUCCCCAAAUUCUCUCUUUCUAUCUCUCUCACACUCCUUUGAAACACAACAUUCCUUUUUAACUCUAAAUUCAGAGAUAGUUUCUUGAUUAGGGUUCUUUGUUAUCACUAUCGCUACUUUAAUCUUUUAUUAUCACUAAUUCAUAAUCAAUUCAUUCUGCCCAAUUUCUUUUCUCUUUGCGACACUCUUUCCUUCUCCGUCAUUCAUCAUAACGCAACGCUAAAAAAACCUCACAACAGGUUCGUGUAACUCGCUCACUCGACUCGUUCGCGUAACUCGUUCUCUUCGGUUUCGAUUUUUUCAUCAUGCCGAAGGCUAAAGUUGAUUCCAAACCCGCUGAUAAGAGGGCACCACGAUGGGCUAGUGUGAACUUAGGAAUUUCAUUUGCAUGCAAUGUUCAGGGAUUCACCGGACUCUAGGAGUGCAUAUAUCAAAGGUGUAUAUACAUUUUUGUUCCUUCACAGUUUAGAAAUUUUAUAAUGGCUGAACCUUCUGAUUUUGUUACAAGGUGAGGUCCACAACUUUGGAUACAUGGUUGCCAGAACAAGUUUCUUUCAAGAAAUGAAGAAAAUAGAUGAGCAAAGCCGCUAAGGAUCCUACCAAACCGAAGUAGUUACAAAGGAUAUAAUCCCAUCUUGAAUUGUGGUUCGUUAUAAUAAAUCACUGCUUAAACUUAGUGUAGACAACUACUUAUUUGUCUAUCAACUUUAUAUAAUCAAACCUUUAUUUUCUUUUUUUACUUUUUGUCGUAUGAUA